rnacentral:rRNA from 1 species
AGAGUUUGAUCCUGGCUCAGGAUGAACGCUGGCGGCGUGCUUAACACAUGCAAGUCGAACGGAGUUAUUUUUAAAGCUUGCUUUUUUAAUAACUUAGUGGCGGACGGGUGAGUAACGCGUGGGUAACCUGCCGUAUACAGGAGGAUAACACUUAGAAAUAGGUGCUAAUACCGCAUAAGCGCACAAGAUCGCAUGAUCUAGUGUGAAAAACUCCGGUGGUAUACGAUGGACCCGCGUCUGAUUAGAUAGUUGGUGAGGUAACGGCCCACCAAGUCAACGAUCAGUAGCCGGCCUGAGAGGGUGAACGGCCACAUUGGGACUGAGACACGGCCCAAACUCCUACGGGAGGCAGCAGUGGGGAAUAUUGGACAAUGGGGGAAACCCUGAUCCAGCGACGCCGCGUGAGUGAAGAAGUAUUUCGGUAUGUAAAGCUCUAUCAGCAGGGAAGAUAAUGACGGUACCUGACUAAGAAGCUCCGGCUAAAUACGUGCCAGCAGCCGCGGUAAUACGUAUGGAGCAAGCGUUAUCCGGAUUUACUGGGUGUAAAGGGAGCGUAGACGGCAUGGCAAGUCUGAUGUGAAAAUCCCGGGCUCAACCCGGGAACUGCAUUGGAAACUGUUAAGCUAGAGUGCAGGAGAGGUAAGUGGAAUUCCUAGUGUAGCGGUGAAAUGCGUAGAUAUUAGGAGGAACACCAGUGGCGAAGGCAGCUGACAAAUCCUAUAUUGACGCUGAUGCACGAAAGUGUGGGGAUCAAACAGGAUUAGAUACCCUGGUAGUCCACACAGUAAACGAUGAUAACUCGCUGUCGGCGAUAUAAUGUCGGUAGUCAAGAGAAAUCGAUAAGUUAUCCACCUGGGGAGUACGACCGCAAGGUUGAAACUCAAAGGAAUUGACGGGGGCCCGCACAAGCGGAGGAACAUGUGGUUUAAUUCGAUGAUACGCGAGGAACCUUACCCGGGCUCGAACGGUGCCUGAAUUCAGCAGAGAUGUUGGAGCUAGCAAUAGCAGGUAUCGAGGUGCUGCAUGGUUGUCGUCAGCUCGUGCCGUGAGGUGUCGGCUUAAGUGCCAUAACGAGCGCAACCCUUAUCUUCAGUUACCAUCAGGUAUUGCUGGGGACUCUGGAGAUACUGCCACCGUAAGGUGAGAGGAAGGUGGGGAUGACGUCAAAUCAGCACGGCCCUUACGUCCGGGGCGACACACGUGUUACAAUGGUCGGUACAGAGGGGAGCUACACUGUGAAGUGAUGCGAAUCUCGAAAGCCGAUCUCAGUUCGGAUUGGAGUCUGCAACUCGACUCCAUGAAGUUGGAUUCGCUAGUAAUCGCGCAUCAGCCAUGGCGCGGUGAAUACGUUCCCGGGUCUUGUACACACCGCCCGUCA